UGAGAUCGGCGCACGUGCUUCAAUACCUGUUAGAACAAAAGGAUAUAAUGUUAUCAAUGUCCAGUGGCAUGUUUAAGCCAUUGAAACUUUAAAAAUUUGCAUUUCUCCUACACUUUGUGGACUCUGGGGGAGAGUUUUAU
rnacentral:sRNA from 1 species